rnacentral:rRNA from 1 species
GACGAACGCUGGCGGCGUGCUUAACACAUGCAAGUCGAACGGAAAGGCCCUGCUUUUGUGGUGUGCUCGAGUGGCAAACGGGUGAGUAACACGUGAGUAACCUGCCCUUGACUUUGGGAUGACUUCAGGAAACUGGGGCUAAUACCGGAUAGGCGCUCCUGCUUCAUGGUGGGGGUUGGAAAGUUUCGGCGGUUGGGGAUGGACUCGCGGCUUAUCAGCUUGUUGGUGGGGUAGUGGCUUACCAAGGCUUUGCCGGGUGGCCGGCCUGGGAGGGUGACCGGCCAAAUGGGGACUGGGAUAGGGCCAGAACUCCUACGGGAGGAAGCAGUGGGGAAUAUUGAAAAAUGGGCGGAAGCCUGAUGCAGCAACGCCGCGUGCGGGAUGACGGCCUUCGGGUUGUAACCCGCUUCCGCCUGUGACGAAGCGUGAGUGACGGUAAUGGGUAAAGAAGCACCGGCUAACUACGUG